GUGAAUCAUCAAAUUUUUGAACGCAAAUUGCACCCUCCUCGGUGAGUAUGCCUGUUUGAGGGUCAUCCUAUAAAAAUCUACAUCUUUGCUGUUUCGCGUUUGCGUUGGUCUUUAAUUGGGUCAUCUUAAAUCCUUUUUAUUUAAGCGACUUAAAAUUUUCUUUUGGUUCCAGUAGCUUUUCUAAGAUCUAUUUCGUUACACGUUUAAGGUAUCUAUUUUUACUAGACUUUACCAUCAUAUCUGAUCGCGUCCAUAAUCUUUCAUUUACUGACCUCAUACAGGUAAAAGUACCCUCUGAA
rnacentral:misc_RNA from 1 species